rnacentral:lncRNA from 1 species
CCCAAAACAAAAAUGUGAAAGACUGCCAAGUUCGAUAAUAUGGGAAUGCUUCGCCUAUAAAAGAAGUGAGAUCUGAAUAAGUACCAAGACCCAUACACAUACCUCAGUUAAAAAUAGUUACUUUUUAAUGAUGUUACUUGGCAAGUUUUAAUAGAAAAUUAAAUACUUGAUUCAUUGCGUUUAGUAGGUUUACAACAAGGAGUGUGAAAACUUGCCAAGUGACAUCAUUAAAAAGUAACUAUUUUUAACUGAGGUAUGUGUAUGGAACUUGGUACUUAUUCAGAUCUCACUUCUUUUAUAGGCGAAGCAUUCCCAUAUUAUCGAACUUGGCAGUCUUUCACAUUUUUGUUUUGGGUGGUAUUAUCAAUAACAGAAUCAAUCCUGAUAUCUCGGUCAAAAUCUUCCAAAAUCAGGUUUUUAGAGCUCUACCUCACUGGGACGCCAUGGCGACGUCGCCAGCGGCACAGGUCUGGCUACUUCUGGCAUCCAAAUGUCGCCAAGUCGAGUGGCCAUGGCGUCUCGACAGUCAAUUGUUUACGUCGUCGCUCAAGAAAUUGCAAGCUGACUGGCGACCACAUUGGCGACUGUGUGAGGGAGGUGCGCUUUACCGUGUACAUUAUAGUGGCUACUGUGGCCACGUCACCAAGUUGCCACGGUAGCCAGAAGCCACAUAGGGAACUGUAGCUCGUGGCCACGCCUCCAAUUUGGCGACGUUACCAAACCGUCGCCAAGUGAGUUAGGUUCCAUACAUUUCAAUACUAACUGCUUGGAUACGUAGCCGGCGACGUCGCCAUUGGCGUCCUAAUGAGGCAGGGCACUUAGUCUUAGCGCACGAAACGACAACAAAUGACUAUUUAGCGUCACAAAAUGACGGCCCAUGAUGCCAUUUGGGGUUACCAUUUUCAACCUAAAUAUAAAAAUGCUACUUUCUUUCGCGCGUUCAGUUUGAUCAUAGUUUUAUUUUUAUAUUUCAUAAAAGUUAUCCUAUAGUCCAUUAUUUUCAAAUUCUUAAAAAGAAAAACAAAACGUAUGAUUUUAUAUUAUAAGUAUAACUGUAUAAGAACCAUCAACCAGAACAGAUUACGAUACUUGCCUGUUAUUUUUAGCACAGCACUACAAAUAUAAAGCGCUGACAUAACCUUGUAAUAGCGCAGUAUGGAUUUAGAAAAAUAUUGUUUACCAAGUUAUUUGACACUUAAUUUGGCACAAAAUUACAACAUUCAUUGAUUAUUAUUGAUAUAAUAAUGUUGUUUUAAUGCUCAACAAUUGUUAAAACGAUAAACAACCAGCAAAAAUAUUUUUAUCGUACUGCAACGCCAUUACAAAGUUACGUCGUCAGUUCAAUCGCGAUGUGUCAGAAACGCAUUCUCUGAGCGGCCGAACUAUAAUACAAAU